GUGAAGGAGAAAGGGUAAGCAGCCCUUUGACAAGGAUGGAAGAGGCAGCACACAUAUACAACACACCGUCGCCUGUGUAGUGGCAUCUAAAUUUUUUAAAAUUUUUU
rnacentral:ncRNA from 1 species